rnacentral:rRNA from 1 species
UACGGAGGGUGCGAGCGUUAAUCGGAAUUACUGGGCGUAAAGGGUUCGUAGGUGGUUUGAUAAGUUAUCUGUGAAAGCCCUGGGCUUAACCUGGGAAGGCCAGAUAAGACUGUUAGGCUAGAGUAUGGGAGGGGGUAGUGGAAUUUCCGGUGUAGCGGUGAAAUGCGUAGAGAUCGGAAGGAACACCGGUGGCGAAGGCGGCUACCUGGCCUAAUACUGACACUGAAGGACGAAAGCGUGGGGAGCAAACAGG